AGCUCUACAGCAGCGUAACACAUAUGCCAUUAGUGUGUGGAGGAAAGUAAAAGCAAAACUCGAUGGCAGGGAUGCGGAUCAAGCAAAGAGAAUGUCUGUAGCGGACCAGGUUGACCAUGUUAUCCAUGAAGCAACCAGUCUAGACAAUCUCAGCCAGAUGUACGAAGGAUGGACUGCAUGGGUAUAGACGAGACGAUACCAGACAAUCCUGUCUGUAUGUCCAUAUUCUCUACAUCAAUUUCAUUGGUUGCUCCAGGUCACCAUAGCAACAAAGCUAAUCAUGGAACAGCAGYAGUGCCAGCUAGCAACAAUCGACCCAACAAUCCAGGUGUUUKUGUCCAUAGUGCUUAAACUUGUAUCGUUGCCUAGUAACGGGUGUCGUGCUGCAAAUGUAUUUAGAGGAGUUUAUCGCGUUGCUAGCUUAACGACUUGGAAAAAAAGAUCGACGUAGUUUUGAUUAUUUACUUGUAACGUUAGUUUUGGACCAGAACAAACCUUGCAGUUAAGCAAACUUUGAAAAAAAAGAAACAGCUUGAAAUAAUAUUAGACUUGUGUCGUAAAAAUUGUUUGAUUAACAAUUGGUCAAUAACAGACCACCAAACACUUACCAUACACUAACCAACCACUUAUCAUCAACUAACCAACCACUUACCAUCAACUAACCAACCCCUUACCAUCGACUAACCAACCCCUUACCAUCGACUAACCAACCCCUUACCAUCGACUAACUAACCCCUUACCAUCAACUAACCAACCACUUACCAUCAACUAACCAACCACUUACCAUCAACUAACCAACCACUUACCAUCGACUAACCAACCACUUGCCAUCAACUAACCAACCACU